rnacentral:rRNA from 1 species
UACGUAGGUGGCAAGCGUUAUCCGGAAUUAUUGGGCGUAAAGCGCGCGCAGGCGGUCCUUUAAGUCUGAUGUGAAAGCCCACGGCUCAACCGUGGAGGGUCAUUCGAAACUGGGGGACUUGAGUGCAGAAGAGGAGAGCGGAAUUCCACGUGUAGCGGUGAAAUGCGUAGAGAUGUGGAGGAACACCAGUGGCGAAGGCGGCUCUCUGGGACGGUACUGACGCUGAGACGCGAAAGCGUGGGGAGCGAACAGG